GUUGUAUAGUCAAGUAAUUAAGUGCAUGUGGUGGAUGCCUUGGCAGUCAGAGGCGAUGAAAGACGUGAUAGCCUGCGAAAAGCUCCGGGGAGGCGGCAAAUAUCCUUUGAUCCGGAGAUGUCUGAAUGGGGGAACCCACCUACUUUAAGGUAGGUAUUGCAACAUGAAUACAUAGUGUUGCAAGGCGAACGAGGGGAAGUGAAACAUCUCAGUACCCUUAGGAAAAGAAAUCAAUUGAGAUUCCCUCAGUAGCUGCGAGCGAACGGGGAUCAGCCCAUUAAGUUAUGUGUGUUUUAGUGGAACGCUCUGGGAAGUGCGAACGUAGAGGGUGAUAUUCCCGUACACGAAAGGGCACACAUAAUGAUGACGAGUAGGGCGAGGCACGUGAAACCUUGUCUGAAUAUGGGGGGACCAUCCUCCAAGGCUAAAUACUCCUGACUGACCGAUAGUGAACCAGUACCGUGAGGGAAAGGCGAAAAGAACCCCUGUGAGGGGAGUGAAAUAGAUCCUGAAACCGCAUGCAUACAAGCAGUGGGAGCACCUUCGUGGUGUGACUGCGUACCUUUUGUAUAAUGGGUCAGCGACUUAUAUUCAGUAGCGAGGUUAACCGUAUAGGGGAGCCGUAGAGAAAUCGAGUCUUAAUAGGGCGUUUAGUUGCUGGGUAUAGACCCGAAACCAGGCGAUCUAUCCAUGAGCAGGUUGAAGGUUGGGUAACACUAACUGGAGGACCGAACCCACUGUCGUUGAAAAGCCAGGGGAUGACUUGUGGAUAGGGGUGAAAGGCUAAUCAAGCCUGGUGAUAGCUGGUUCUCCCCGAAAGCUAUUUAGGUAGCGCCUCGGACGAAUACCAUAGGGGGUAGAGCACUGUUUCGGCUAGGGGGUCAUCCCGACUUACCAAACCGAUGCAAACUCCGAAUACCUAUGAGUACUAUCCGGGAGACAGACUGCGGGUGCUAACGUCCGUAGUCAAGAGGAAAACAAUCCAGACCGCCAGCUAAGGCCCCAAAAUCAUAGUUAAGUGGGAAACGAUGUGGGAAGGCAUAGACAGCUAGGAGGUUGGCUUAGAAGCAGCCACCCUUUAAAGAAAGCGUAAUAGCUCACUAGUCGAGUCGGCCUGCGCGGAAGAUGUAACGGGGCUAAAACUAUGUGCCGAAGCUGCGGAUGUAUACUUUGUAUACGUGGUAGGGGAGCGUUCUGUAAGCCGAUGAAGGUGUGUUGAGAAGCAUGCUGGAGGUAUCAGAAGUGCGAAUGCUGACGUGAGUAACGACAAAACGGGUGAAAAACCCGUUCGCCGAAAGACCAAGGGUUCCAGUCCAACGUUAAUCGGGGCUGGGUGAGUCGACCCCUAAGGCGAGGCCGAAAGGCGUAGUCGAUGGGAAAAUGGUUAAUAUUCCAUUACUUCUGUGUAAUGCGAUGAGAGGACGGAGAAGGCUAAAUCAGCCUGGCGUUGGUUGUCCAGGUGAAAGGAUGUAGGCAUGUAUCUUAGGCAAAUCCGGGGUACUCUAUGCUGAGAUCUGAUAGCAAGCUGUACUUGUACAGCGAAGUGGUUGAUGCCAUGCUUCCAGGAAAAGUCUCUAAGCUUCAGUUACACAGGAAUCGUACCCGAAACCGACACAGGUGGUCAGGUCGAGUAGACCAAGGCGCUUGAGAGAACUCUGCUGAAGGAACUAGGCAAAAUGGUACCGUAACUUCGGGAGAAGGUACGCUGUUGUUGGUGAUGGAACUCGCUUCCUGAGCUGACGACAGCCGCAGAAACCAGGCCGCUGCAACUGUUUAUUAAAAACAUAGCACUCUGCAAACACGAAAGUGGACGUAUAGGGUGUGAUGCCUGCCCGGUGCUGGAAGGUUAAUUGAUGGGGUUAGCGUAAGCGAAGCUCUUGAUCGAAGCCCCAGUAAACGGCGGCCGUAACUAUAACGGUCCUAAGGUAGCGAAAUUCCUUGUCGGGUAAGUUCCGACCUGCACGAAUGGCAUAAUGAUGGCGGCGCUGUCUCCAGCAGAGGCUCAGUGAAAUCGAAAUCGCUGUGAAGAUGCAGUGUACCCGCGGCUAGACGGAAAGACCCCGUGAACCUUUACUGCAGCUUGACACUGAACUUUGACCUUACUUGUGUAGGAUAGGUGGGAGGCUUUGAAGCUGGAACGCUAGUUCCAGUGGAGCCGUCCUUGAAAUACCACCCUGGUAAUGUUGAGGUUCUAACUCUGUCCCGUGAUCCGGGACGAGGACCGUGUCUGGUGGGUAGUUUGACUGGGGCGGUCUCCUCCUAAAGAGUAACGGAGGAGUACGAAGGUGCGCUCAGCGUGGUCGGAAAUCACGCGUAGAGUAUAAAGGCAAAAGCGCGCUUAACUGCGAGACCCACAAGUCGAGCAGGUACGAAAGUAGGUCUUAGUGAUCCGGUGGUUCUGUAUGGAAGGGCCAUCGCUCAACGGAUAAAAGGUACUCUGGGGAUAACAGGCUGAUACCGCCCAAGAGUUCAUAUCGACGGCGGUGUUUGGCACCUCGAUGUCGGCUCAUCUCAUCCUGGGGCUGAAGCAGGUCCCAAGGGUAUGGCUGUUCGCCAUUUAAAGAGGUACGCGAGCUGGGUUUAGAACGUCGUGAGACAGUUCGGUCCCUAUCUACCGUGGGCGCUGGAAAUUUGAGAGGAUCUGCUCCUAGUACGAGAGGACCAGAGUGGACGAACCUCUGGUGUACCGGUUGUGACGCCAGUCGCAUCGCCGGGUAGCUAUGUUCGGAAGGGAUAACCGCUGAAAGCAUCUAAGCGGGAAGCCUACCUCAAGAUAAGAUUUCCCUAGGACUUUAUGUCCUCUAAAGAGCCGUUCGAGACUAGGACGUUGAUAGGUUGGAUGUGGAAGCAUAGUGAUAUGUGAAGCUGACCAAUACUAAUUGCUCGUGAGGCUUGACUAUACAACACCCAAGCAGUUG
rnacentral:rRNA from 1 species